rnacentral:rRNA from 1 species
CCCUUAGAUGUCCUGGGCCGCACGCGCGUUACACUGAUGCAUUCAACGAGCUUAUAACCUUGGCCGAGAGGCCUGGGCAAUCUUGUUAACGUGCAUCGUGAUAGGGAUAGAUUAUUGAAAUUAUUAAUCUUGAACGAGGAACUCCUAGUAAACGCAGAUCAUCAAUCUGCAUUGAUUACGUCCCUGCCCUUUGUACACACCGCCCGUCGCACCUACCGAUUGGAUGGUCCGGUGAAGCCUCGGGAUUGUGGUUCUUGCCGCUUUAUUGUAGCGUGACCGCGAGAACUUGUCUAAACCUUAUCAUCUAGAGGAAGGUGAAGUCGUAACA